UAGCGGCGGACGGGUGAGUAACACGUGGGUAACCUGCCUGUAAGACUGGGAUAACUCCGGGAAACCGGAGCUAAUACCGGAUAGUUCCUUGAACCGCAUGGUUCAAGGAUGAAAGACGGUUUCGGCUGUCACUUACAGAUGGACCCGCGGCGCAUUAGCUAGUUGGUGAGGUAACGGCUCACCAAGGCGACGAUGCGUAGCCGACCUGAGAGGGUGAUCGGCCACACUGGGACUGAGACACGGCCCAGACUCCUACGGGAGGCAGCAGUAGGGAAUCUUCCGCAAUGGACGAAAGUCUGACGGAGCAACGCCGCGUGAGUGAUGAAGGUUUUCGGAUCGUAAAGCUCUGUUGUUAGGGAAGAACAAGUGCAAGAGUAACUGCUUGCACCUUGACGGUACCUAACCAGAAAGCCACGGCUAACUACGUGCCAGCAGCCGCGGUAAUACGUAGGUGGCAAGCGUUGUCCGGAAUUAUUGGGCGUAAAGGGCUCGCAGGCGGUUUCUUAAGUCUGAUGUGAAAGCCCCCGGCUCAACCGGGGAGGGUCAUUGGAAACUGGGAAACUUGAGUGCAGAAGAGGAGAGUGGAAUUCCACGUGUAGCGGUGAAAUGCGUAGAGAUGUG
rnacentral:rRNA from 1 species